CCUGNNGCAGCCAUGCCGCGUGUGUGAAGAAGGCCUUCGGGUUGUAAAGCACUUUCAGCGAGGAGGAAAGGUCAGUAGCUAAUACCUGCUGGCUGUGACGUUACUCGCAGAAGAAGCACCGGCUAACUCCGUGCCAGCAGCCGCGGUAAUACGGAGGGUGCAAGCGUUAAUCGGAAUUACUGGGCGUAAAGCGCACGCAGGCGGUUGGAUAAGUUAGAUGUGAAAGCCCCGGGCUCAACCUGGGAAUUGCAUUUAAAACUGUCCAGCUAGAGUCUUGUAGAGGGGGGUAGAAUUCCAGGUGUAGCGGUGAAAUGCGUAGAGAUCUGGAGGAAUACCGGUGGCGAAGGCGGCCCCCUGGACAAAGACUGACGCUCAGGUGCGAAAGCGUGGGGAGCAAACAGGAUUAGAAACCCUUGUAGUCCAGACCAAGUCUCUGCCUACCGUAA
rnacentral:rRNA from 1 species